ACGGAGAGGGCAAGCGUUGUUCGGAUUUAUUGGGCGUAAAGCGCGCGUAGGUGGCAUGGUAAGUCGGAUGUUAAAGACCCACGGCUCACCCGGGGGAAUGCGUCCGAUACUGUCGGACUAGAGGCAGGUAGAGGCAAGUGGAAUUCCGGGUGUAGUGGUGAAAUGCGUAGAGAUCCGGAGGAACCCCGGUGGCGAAGGCGACUUGCUGGGCCUGAACUGACGCUCAGACGCGAAAGCAUGGGGAGCGAACGG
rnacentral:rRNA from 1 species